rnacentral:lncRNA from 1 species
GUCGUACAGCAUGUAUAAAUAGAGCUUAGACUAUAACUAACAGAAUAUGCCAGCUCAUUAACAAUAGUUAUAAACUAAUUAACUGAUAUUCAUAUACUCCACCCUCAAGGUGGACGAUGCAAAUCAAUAACAGCCAUCUUGGAUAGUAGAGGAAACAAAAUGUUAGCAGGUAAAGCUUUGGUAAAAACAUCUGCUAACAGAUUUUGGGUGCGAACAAGCAAAAGUUUAAUGGAGCCUUCAAUAACUUUAUCACGGAUGAAAUGGCAAUCAAUCUCGAUGUGUUUCCUUUCAUGAAAGAUAGGAUUCUUAGCUAUGUGAAUUGCAGCUUGGUUAUCACAAAAAAUUAGUGCCGGAGCUGGUGAAGAAAUCUGGAAAUCGCGAAGCAAUUGAUGGAUCCAAGUAAUUUCACUCGCUGUGGAAGCCAAUGCUUGGUACUCUACUUCCGCAGAUGAUCUAGACAGUGUUAGCUGCUUCUUUGCCUUCCAAGAGAUCAAGGAGUCCCCCAGGAACACACAAAAGCCUGUAACUAAUUUUCUUGAAUCUAAGCAAGCUCCACAGUCAGCAUGAAGUUGCAGGGAAGAAGAAGCAGAGAAUGGUAAUCCUUGACCUGGAGCAGCCUUAAGAUACCUUGAGAGAUGAUGGACAGCAUCAAGGUGUGGCUGGCGAGGCUGAGAAACAAAUUGACUGAGCUUAUGAACUGCAGAGGUUAUGUCUGGUCGAGAAAUAGUCAAGUAAAGCAGGCGUCCAACAAGUCUUCUGUACUGGGAUGCAUCAUCAAUUAAUUCACCUUCAAAUAAACAAAGGUGAGCCUUUGGAUUCAUUGGUAAGUUGGCUGGUUUACAGCCUAGGAAACCAGCAUCUUCCAGAAGCUGCAGUGUGUAAUUUCGUUGACAGAGGAAAUUCCCAUUAUGAGACCUGGCUAUUUCAAGACCAAGGAAGUAUUUCAACACUCCAAGGUCCUUGAGUUUAAAAUGGCUGUGUAAAAAUGUCUUCAAAGAGUCAAUCAUACGGAUGUUUGGACCUGUGAUGAUGACAUCAUCAACGUAUACCAACAAGGCGACAAAUGUGUUCCCAGAACCUUUAGUAAACAAAUAGUAAUCUGACUUUGAUUGCUGAAAACCAUGAAGAAUAAGAACCUGGGAAAACUUAGAAGACCAUUGUCAAGAUGCCUGUCUAAGGCUAUAAAUGAACUUGUUUGCAAACUAGUUGUCCUCCCUUUGCAAGAUCCUUAUGUGUGUUAGAAUAACCCAAAGGCAAAUCCAUAUAUAUUUCUUCAAAAAGAUCUCCAUUAAGGAAUGCGUUGUUGACAUGGACAAGAUUCCAUUUAUGGAUAGCAGCAAUAGCAAGAAGCAUUUUGACAGUCACAAGUUUGGCAACAGGAGAGAAUGUUUCAAUAAAAUCCAAGCCUUCUUGCUGGGUAUAGCCCUUGGCCACCAAACAAGCCUUGUAUCUAUCUAUACUUCCAUCAGGCUUAUACUUGAUUUUAUAUACCCACUUGCAACCAAUGGAGUGUUUGCCCUAAGGUAGAGUAGUCACUGACCAAGUAUUGUUUUGUUCCAUUGCAGCUAAUUCAGAUGACGUAGCCUCUUUCCAAUGCUGAAAUUGCAUAGCUUGGUGGUAAAAUUGAGGCUCAAAAUUGGAGGUAACAUUAAGGAGGUAAUUUCUAUGUGAAGAGGAAAAAGCAGCAUAGGAAAUGAACUUGGAUAAGGGGUAUUUUAAGUAAAGUUUUGAUGGAGGUGUAUUUUUCAUGAGAUUACAGUGGAAUUCUCGAAGAUAGGAAGGGAUUUUACUGACUCUAGUUGAUCUUCUAGGAUGAAAGGGUGAAGGCUGAGAAGAGUCUGGUACUUGUUCCUCAAUGGAAUUUGGAGUUGAGGGUGAAGUAGAAGGAAUGAUGGGCAGGCCAUUAUCAUUGUCAUCCAAAGGGAGGUUGGAAGUUGUGGUUGGAUUUGAGUGAUAGGACAUUGAAUUAGAGGUAAUGUGAGGUAAAACAAUGUCAGGAAAUGGAUCGAUGAGAUCAGUUGUGUGAGUUAUGGAAUGGAAAGGAAAGUGGUUUUCAUGGAACACAACUUCUCCGGAGACAAAAAAUGAUUUUGAUGAGAUGUUAUACAAUUUAUAGCAUUUUAUGCCUGGAGGAUAUCCCAUGAAAACACAUGUUGUGGCUCGGAAAUAGAAUUUAUUUCUAUGAGAUGGUAGUGUUGAGGCAAAACAAAGACACCCAAACACUUUAAGGAAGCUGUAAUCUAUUGGAGUACCAUACAAAAGGGAAUAAGGAGUGUUAUUUUUCAAAAUUGGUGAAGGAGUUCUGUUGAUAAAAAUUGUGGCUCUAAGUACACAAUCUCCCCAGAAUUGGAUUGGAAUUCGUGACUGGAAAAACA